rnacentral:rRNA from 1 species
CCUACGGGUGGCUGCAGUGGGGAAUAUUGGACAAUGGGCGAAAGCCUGAUCCAGCAAUGCCGCGUGAGUGAAGAAGGCCUUCGGGUUGUAAAGCUCUUUUACCCGGGAUGAUAAUGACCGUACCGGGAGAAUAAGCCCCGGCUAACUCCGUGCCAGCAGCCGCGGUAAUACGGAGGGGGCUAGCGUUGUUCGGAAUCACUGGGCGUAAAGCGUGCGUAGGCGGCCAUUCAAGUCAGAGGUGAAAGCCCAGGGCUCAACCUUGGAACUGCCUUUGA